rnacentral:lncRNA from 10 species
AGGUGUUGGGACUUUGAUGGGAAAAAGGUGAAGCAAAAUGUGGUAAACAGGAAUGAAAAGCCAGAAUGAAUAAAGGAAGCCUUCAUUGUUCUGAGUGAGUUCCCCAGCCUGAGAGAUUCACAGAGACCUGGCAAAUGAUAUUGCUGAACCAUGGGCAGUGAAUGCAGAGAACAGAAAAGGGCAUACACCUUUGGAUCUCUGAGCCAUCAUGUAAGAAGUUCAGCUACCCUGAAGCCACCAUGUUGGAUUUGCCACUUAGAGACAGAGAUAUUUGAGGAACCCCAACUGUUCUGGGCUCCAGCUGUUUGAGUCUUUCCAGUCCAGGUCUUCCAAGUUUAUAAGAAGAAUCAGAUUUCCAAGAGCAAUUUACCCCUUUCUUCAUUCUGUUAGGCAUUAUUUGGAAUGGCUUUUCUUCGAUGAAUUCAAUUAACAGGCUGGAGUGCAGCGGCGUGAUCUCGGCUCACUACAACCUCCACCUCCCGGGUUCAAGCGAUUCUUCUGCUUCAGCCUUCUCCUGAGCAGCUGGGAUUACAAGUGCGCACCAUCAUGCCUGGCUAAUUUUUGUAUUUUUAAUAGAGACGGGGUUUCUCCAUGUUGGCCAGGCUCGUCUCAAACUCCUGACCUCAGGUGAUCUGCCCACCUCGGCCUCCCGAAGUGCUGGGAUUACAGGUGUGAGCCACUGCACCCAGCCUAAAGAGAAUAUUUUCUCAAUUAAAA